rnacentral:SRP_RNA from 1 species
CGGCGGGCUAUGGCGGGGGGAUACCCCUCCCCUGUAACCACAAAUGGGGUUUAUGGUGGGCCGAAAGCUCGAGGAAGGCGCUGGAACUGUACGUCGACCUGGUUUCCGGCGUGGAAGCCACGUCUCGUAGGGUCGGCAGCGGCAGGGCCUCGGCCGUAGGGUCGGGGUAAACUGCCCUUACCUCUCGAACCCCCCAGGGGCGGAAGAUUGGGGCAAAUCCAAUCCGAAUCAGCAAGGGUUGGGAGGACGUUCGGCGCUUGCGAAUCACGGGGUGGAGCCUUGGAACCAGUAAUCGAUGUGCGGAGAAGGCGUCGACCCCGGGCGCGCUCGCCG